rnacentral:rRNA from 1 species
GAUGAACGCUAGCGGCAGGCUUAACACAUGCAAGUCGAGGGGUAUAGUUCUUCGGAACUUGAGACCGGCGCACGGGUGCGUAACGCGUAUGCAAUCUACCUUUUGCAGAGGGAUAGCCCAGAGAAAUUUGGAUUAAUACCUCAUAGUAUGUGAGAAUGGCAUCAUUUUCACAUUAAAGUCACAACGGCAAAAGAUGAGCAUGCGUCCCAUUAGCUUGUUGGUAAGGUAACGGCUUACCAAGGCAACGAUGGGUAGGGGUCCUGAGAGGGAGACCCCCCACAAGUGAACUGAGACACGGACCAGACUCCUACGGGAGGCAGCAGUGAGGAAUAUUGGACAAGGGGCGCAAGCCUGAUCCAGCCAGGCCGCGUGCAGGAUGACGGUCCUAUGGAUUGUAAACUGCUUUUGUACAGGAAGAAACCCUGGUUCGUGAACCAGCUUGACGGUACUGUAAGAAUAAGGAUCGGCUAACUCCGUGCCAGCAGCCGCAGUAAUAC